UUGCAAGUCUACAAUUGAUGCUAUUUAGGAAAAACAAUGAGGAGACUGAUGCAUGAGUUACUCCUCUUCUUGUGGCUGCAGCUGGACUGUGUGAUCCAAGGAGAGAAGGUGGAGCAGCAUCCUUCUAUCCUGAGUGUCCAUGAAGGAGACCACUCUGUUAUCAACUGCACUUACUCAGACAGUGCCUCGGCCUACUUCCCUUGGUACAAGCAAGAACAUGGAAAGGGUCCCCAGCUCAUUAUUGACCUUCGUUCAAAUCGGGACACAAGUAAUAAAGACAGACUCAUGGUUUUACUGAACAAAAAGGACAAGCACUUCUCCCUGUACAUCAAUGGUACCAGGCCUGGGGACUCAGCUGUCUACUUCUGUGCAGCGAGUACACAUUGCUUUCCAGGCACCUGCAACCUGUCCUCAAACCUGCCACUGAGACUGCAGCCCCACCUUUGUCCUUUGGCACAGACCAUCUGGCACUGCAUUUGA